rnacentral:rRNA from 1 species
UGGGGAAUAUUGGACAAUGGGCGCAAGCCUGAUCCAGCAAUGCCGCGUGUGUGAAGAAGGCCUUCGGGUUGUAAAGCACUUUUAUCAGGAGCGAAAUACUACCGAUUAACACUCGGUGGGGCUGACGGUACCUGAGGAAUAAGCACCGGCUAACUUCGUGCCAGCAGCCGCGGUAAUACGAAGGGUGCAAGCGUUAAUCGGAAUUACUGGGCGUAAAGGGUGCGUAGGCGGUUAUUUAAGUCUGUCGUGAAAUCCCCGGGCUCAACCUGGGAAUGGCGGUGGAUACUGGAUAGCUAGAGUGUGUCAGAGGAUGGUGGAAUUCGCGGUGUAGCGGUGAAAUGCGUAGAGAUCGGGAGGAACAUCAGUGGCGAAGGCGGCCAUCUGGGACAACACUGACGCUGAAGCACGAAAGCGUGGGGAGCAAAC